rnacentral:tRNA from 1 species
AGUAGAAUGGCUGAGUUUAAGGUAUUAGAUUGUAAAUCUAAGAAGGAAUUAAUAUUCUUCUACUA